ACAGAUUAUCGACAGCGAAUUUAUCCAAACACUUUAGGAAAGAGAAGAUCCUAAAAUCUAAAAUACAAGCGCAAGGGGGGCGAGGAGAGCAGGGUGGGCUGGGUGCUGGAGCGAGUAGGACGUUAACAGCCAAUAGUUUGCACCUGUCCGUCAACUCGCACCACCCACUCAGCGCCGCUCGGGCCAGCGCGGGCGGCCGCUUCGCUGGUACCGCGUUCCUCCGAGGGUCGGGCACCAUGUGGGGGGCGGGCAGCGGAGUGGGGAAGGGGGAAUAAAACCAACCCGAGAGGCCCCGGCCCCGGAGGGGAAUGCAGGAGGGGCGCCUGCACCCUGACCGCGCGCGGCCAGUAGGGGAGGAACCCUGAUCCCAGACCAAAAGCCCGACCUGCCAGGGAGGGGCCGCCAGGGUGUUAGAGAGAGUUCCGGGGUCCGAGACGGCCGGGUUGGGGGAGAGGUUCUGCCCCGGGCCGCUGGGUACCCUUCGGGCCAGCGCCCGUGUCCCGCGUCAUAGUUCGGGGCUGCUCCCUCUCCCGGGAGCGCCGCCCUUGCAGGCUGUGCAGCCUGUUCUAGGCCGUGGGAGAGCACUAAAGAAGACUUUCAAGCCACUCCUCGAAGAGCUUCUGAUCCGUGGGGGAGGAACUUGUCAAGAAAUUUUGUUUCAGAUGAAAUCUGCCUUCCUUAUUUACAUGACCCUGGAUGUCUGCCAUUUUGAAGAAUUCCAGUCCCAGAGGAGCCUAUUAAAAGAUGACAGCACACAUGGAGGAGAGUCCAGGUGUCCCAGCUGAGGCCAUUCAGACCAGCGUAGGAGUCAACUCCUAGACAUGUGAGAGAGCUCAGCCAAAAUCAGGAGAGCUGCCUACAACACCCACAGCUGAUGCACGAGUAAGGCCAGCCAAGAGUAGAAAAACUACCCAGCUGACCCAUAUACCUACGAGCAAUAAUAAAUGCUUACUGUUUUAAGCCACUGAGUUUUGGGUGGUUUGUAACGCAGCAGUGUGGGAAUUGAUACACCCUACCCAAUGUGUAGAACAUGCACUAUUCUACUCCCUACUUAAAGAACCUUUACAAUGAUGACACUUUAAUGAGGUUAAGACAUCAUGAUAUCUGUGAGGUGAUAACAUUUGCUUAAUAAAGAUCAUUUUAAAGAUUGCCAAGCAAUUUAUAUACACCAUUGCUAAUUCUUACAACAACCCAGAAAAUGUGGAUAUAAUUAUCAAUUCCACUUUACAGAUGAAGAAAUUGAGAGUAAUAUAGGUUGAAUAAUUCACUCAAUGUCACACACUAGGUGGUGGAGUUGACAUUGGAACCCAUGUCCUUUCAGUGCCGAAGACUUUAUCUUUCCUUUCUGCCAUACUGUGGGAACUGGAAGGACUAUACAUACUUUCCAGCCCAAAACUCUUAUUUUUGAGGUAAAGAAACCAAAGAAGUGCAAUAACUUGGCUAAAGUGAUUCACAAUAUAAAGUUUUCAAUCUCUAUAAUUCCAAAUACUCACCUCUGAUUGCAAAAAUGGAGACCCUGAGCAACAAGCCCAGAGUCGUUUUGACCUGGGUAGAGGAAUUUUCACUUUUAAAUAAGCAUAACAGGUGAUUCUGCUGCAAGUGGGCCAUGAAUUAUCUGAGAAAGGCUGAGUCAAGUGAGUCCUGGGGCCAGGACUCAGAUCCUGGUCUU
rnacentral:lncRNA from 1 species